rnacentral:lncRNA from 1 species
ACAUUUGCAAUAGCAGCACAGGAGACUGAUGGUGUUCACGUAUCAGAGUGUCCUUGCUUUGUAAUAUCUGGUGACUCAAAGGGUGUCACGGCUAAGGACAUGUGGAGUGAGAUAAAAGAGGUCAGCAGAUUAUGCUAACAUUUUCAUGUCAUAGAAGUGUCUUCGUCCCUUUGUAUUUUAAUUGUUACAAUGAAGUAGUUUAUAAGGCUAGAUUUCACUGUUUCAAACGACAGUUUGAUUGUACCAAAUAUCUGGUCUAUAUACAACAAUUUUGUCUUUUUAUGGGAGAUUUUCAUUUAAUCAUUUGAUGCUCUUGAAGGAAAUGGUGCUGGGUGGGAGACCCAUUUGAUUUUGGUGUAUUCGAACUUUUCUUAUUCUUCAUAAACCUUGAUACUUGUGCCUCCUUUGUUACAGCAUGGAUCCUUUGAUCGUCUUAAUUCUGCAGAAAUGCCAUUACCUUCAGAACCCGGAUCAUCUAUUGGGGCAGCCAUUGCUGCGUCUGUGGCAGUUCCAUCUGGUGAAGUACGUACUGUAACAUUUUCAUUGGCAUGGGAUUGCCCAGAAGCAAAAUUUACGGGUGGGAAGACGUAUCACAGGUGGGUGGCCAAACACAUGGGGGAAAGAUAUGAUAUUGUAGAAUAGUAUUUAGUUAUUUACGUGCUGAAAUUUGUUUAUAAACAGGCGGUACACUAAAUUUUAUGGAACACAUGGGGAAGCUGCUGCAAAUAUUGCUCAUGAUGCUAUUCUUGGUAAUGGUUGAUUACAUACAUUUCAUGUUGGUGAAUUUUUUUAAGGCUGUUAAAUAUAAUUAUUUAUUUGAGUGUACCUAAUCCAUGGUCAGUCACUCUUACAUAACCCUUGUGUCAUCAUCCAACCCUAAAGGAACAUUGGUCUAUAAACUAGGAAGUGGUCACAUAGUAUAUUGUCGCCUGGUCACACAAAGGAGUGUGAAACUCACCUACUCCUUUAACUAGGAAAUCCUAAUUCACCAUUUCUUUUGUUAUAUUAUCCAUUGAUUGUCAUCGGUUGCCUUACAUCCUUUGUUUUUUGUUCUAUUUUCCUUGAAACGUAGAGCAUCGCCAUUGGGAAUCCCAGAUUGAAGCAUGGCAAAGACCAGUUCUUGAGGACAAGAGACUUCCAGAAUGGUGAGUUUUAGAUGUCUAAUCUGGUUUGAGCAUAUGUCCGAUAAGAUUCCUAAGAUUUGUCAAAGUUCUCUGCAGGUACCCUGUCACUCUGUUCAAUGAGCUAUACUUUCUAAAUUCUGGGGGCACAGUUUGGACAGGUAUUUGUUAAGUUUGAGAUUUUUCGCAGUGAAAUUUGACAGUUAUAGUGAAACAUUAGCUCAUUUUUUUUCAUAUAAAUCGUUUUGCAGAUGGAUCACCUGCAGUCCAUAGCUUAAGAAGUAUUAUAGAAAGGAAGUUUUCCCUUGAUAAGUCCUCAUUAGGUUUGAAAAGCAUCAUUGAUGCACCCGAACAAAAUGAUACUGCUAUCGACAUUCUUGGAAGGAUGACAUCAACACUUGAGCAAGUUCACAUGCCCAUUGCAGCAAACUCUGCAUUUGGAACAAAUCUCCUUCAGGAGGGAGAAGAAAACAUUGGUCAAUUCCUUUAUCUUGAAGGAAUUGAAUAUCAGAUGUGGAAUACUUACGAUGUCCAUUUCUACUCAUCUUUUGCACUAGUCAUGCUAUUUCCAAAACUUCAACUCAGCAUCCAACGAGACUUUGCAGCAGCAGUAAUGAUGCAUGACCCCAGUAAAAUGAGACUUCUCUGUGAUGGAACAUGGGUCCAAAGAAAGGUUCUUGGAGCUGUUCCUCAUGAUAUCGGCCUCCAUGACCCCUGGUUUGAAGUAAAUGCUUAUAACCUGUAUAACACAGAUAGGUGGAAAGACUUGAAUCCUAAGUUUGUUCUCCAAGUUUACAGGGAUGUGGUUGCCACGGGUGAUAAGAAGUUUGCAGAAGCCGUUUGGCCCGCUGUUUAUGUUGCAAUGGCUUAUAUGGAACAAUUUGAUAAAGAUGGAGAUGGAAUGAUUGAGAAUGAUGGCUUCCCAGAUCAGACUUAUGAUACGUGGUCAGUCUAUGGUGUGAGUGCAUAUAGUGGUGGGCUGUGGGUAGCAGCAUUGCAGGCUGCAUCAGCCAUGGCACGAGAAGUAGGUGACAAGGGUUCAGAAGUUUAUUUUUGGCAAAAGUUUCAGAAGGCAAAAGCCGUGUAUGCGA